rnacentral:rRNA from 1 species
CACGUAGGGCGCAAGCGUUGUCCGGAAUUAUUGGGCGUAAAGGGUGCGUAGGCGGUUCCGCAAGUCCUGUGUGAAAUCUUCGGGCUCAACUCGAAGUCUGCACGGGAAACUGCGGGGCUUGAGUAUGGGAGAGGUGAGUGGAAUUCCUGGUGUAGCGGUGAAAUGCGUAGAUAUCAGGAGGAACACCUGUGGCGAAAGCGGCUCACUGGACCAUAACUGACGCUGAUGCACGAAAGCUAGGGGAGCAAACAGG